rnacentral:lncRNA from 1 species
AAAUAAUAAAGCCAUCAAAUAAAACGAAGUAACAUACACAACUGAAAUAUUGUAUUAUUUCAUAGUAAUUUCCUAUUUUUCUAUUGAUGUCAACUCAAUGUGGACCUGACAGAAAUAAUUGAAUGUGAAUGUUCACUGUUGUUGGCUUUAGAAUUUCAAUUAAAAAGCUCUAAAAUCAUUUGAAUGCGAUUAUUUCAUAAUGCAUUUAAUUUUGAAAAAUGUUUUGUAAACAAAAUAAAAAAAACAUAAUUCUUUUUUUAUAAUCGAACCCAAAACCGAAUCGAGCUCAAAAAACACUUAUCGCUCAGCACUAGUUCCAUGUAGAACUCUCUGUGGAAAUGGUUCUACAUGGAACCUCAAAAGUUUCUAUCAGGAACCAAAAGUGUUCUACUUGGAACCAAAAAAGGUGUACGAAUUCUGUGGAGGCAGCGUGAUACAAGGACUAUACAUUUCCUGUCUCCUAUCAGCCGGAUUUACUCCGAAAAGGGCAUCAAUGACCAUUGGACCAUAUACUUCUCCACAAUAUUGCAGGCACUAAAGGUGGACUUUUAACAAGUGCAGUGACAAUGCAGGAGCAUCUCCCAGUCCAGCACAUGGGCACCAGGAGCACAAAGUUCUCCUAGUAGUGAGGUUUGUCCUGGGCCUCAUCCGGACGACCAUGACUGAUCUCCUGGCCAACCUGAGUGUUCCAUGGGGCACACAGGUGAUUGUGAGCCCCAACCUGACAGCAGCAGCCCUGGUUGUGCCGGGGUCAGGCAAGUCUCUGGCCCCCUUCUGCACCUUCUGCUGCUGUGGCCUGCUGAACCGUACUCUGGCCGUGGUGUUUAUGGUCAGUCUGGCCUUCGCCAUAGUGGUGGGCAACGUGGUCACGCUCACCGUCUUCAUGCAGACAAGACAGGUCCGCACACCACAGGGAUACCUCAAAGUCUCUCUGGCCAUAGCGGACAUGAUGGUUGGAGUGCUGGUGGUUCCUUUCUCUGUCUACACUGAGAUCUCUCUAAUGGUGACCAGUUCCCCUCCUGUCUGGUACCAGGGGGGCACUGACCCCUCCAUGGGGGGCCUGGUGGGACCCUGGCAACCCUGCAUGCUGAUUGGUCCAGUCUUCGCUGGCUGUACGUUUGUCUCCAUCAGUACUAUAUUCCUGAUGACGGUAGAGCGCUGUGUGGCCAUCUUAUGGCCCCUACAUAAGGACCACCUGGUGACACGGAGACGCACCCUGUUUCUCAUCCUCUUCUCCUGGGCAGGCAGUUUCCUCCUGGCCCUGGCCCCCCUCAUCCUCAGCAACAACUUCACACUGGAGUACAGUGAGUGCAGCCGGAUGUGUAACUACGUCCCCCUGUGGGACGGAGUCACUCUGCCCUCUGACGCCAACAUCCUCCUGCUGUUCCCCGUGUUUGACUUUACGCUGCUGGGCGGCACCCUGGUAUUCAACAUCCUGUCCUUCACCAGCAUCCGCCGCUACACACGCAAACGUAAGCUCAUGUCAGAGGGGAAUGUGGGGGUCGAGGGAGGGGGAGGCGGCUGCCAACAUAGACCCUCCUUCUCUGACAUCAAGGCUGCCAAGACGAUCAGCAUUCUGACGUUUGCCUUCACGGCUUCCUUCACCCCCAUCGCUGUGUUUGUGCUGGGCAACGUGGUGGGCUUCACCUGGUGCAACUUCUCCUUUGUAGCCUUCUGGAUCCUGACUGGGAACAGCUGCUGUAAUGUGAUAAUAUACAGCGUGAGAGACCAGCGCUUCAGGAAAGGAGUGACUCUGCUUUUUCAGAGGGAGCACUCACCUUCCCAGGGGGAGAAAGGCGGAGCUACCCCCCCCAUUCACCUUGUGACUACACCCCCAACCCCACCUCCUUAAACUAUUUUGAAAAGACAACCAGUGCCCCUUUCUUUAACUUUACUAUGGAGAGAGGGAUUUAAUCGGCAUUUAACUUCAGGUAAAAAAAAACAUACAAAAAAGAUGCAAUUCUGGAAGAGGAAUUGUUUCCAUUUUUUUCACUGUGUCUAAAUAAUGAACAUAACUGUAGCUACCUUAUGGUAUCUAGUAGUCGCCAGCUAUUCCCAGCAUCAUUUAAAUCAUAUGACUCAAGCUGUCUCAUUGGACUAGGUGAGAUAUCUGUGGGGGAUAUCUUAAUAACAUGCACUUUAUCAUAGAGUUGUAAGUAAUGUAUGGUUUUCAUUUGUUUUCUGACAUGUUUUGUGACUGUCCAGAAACAUGUUAAUUUUGCACAAUUUUCUCUAUAAUAGCUUUUAUUUUUGCGAUAAUACCAUUAUAUUCAUGAGGAGGGCAUAAUCAAAUGUGAGUGAAUGAAUUGUAAGAAUGUUUUGAAUCUAAAUGACGAGAGAUGUUGAUGUUUUGUACAGUUAUGGGCAAUUCAACGGGUCCGUGAUCUGUACUACACAGAAAUGCAUAAUUAUGGAUAUGAAUGUCAUUCUCUUCAAGGUUAUGUAUCCUAAAUAGGUACAGAAAGGUUAUAUCAAUAUCUUCUUUUGCAUAUUUGGGUAUUAUUCUACACACUGGAUAUUAUUUUAAUGAGCUCUGCCUCCAAACAAGACCAAAUGAAAUCUGAACCAAUCAUAGAUGUCUUUGUUUCACAAGUUUAGACAUCAAAGUACAGCAGAGCACAGUAGAGUACAAUACAGCACAGUAGAGUACAAUACAGCACAGUAUAAUACAGCACAGUAGAGUACAAUACAGCACAGUAGAGUACAGCACAGUAGAGUACAAUACAGCACAGUAGAGUACAAUACAGCAUAGUAGAGUACAAAUCAGUACAGUAGAGUUCUGUACAGUACAGUACAUUCUAGUGUACUCACUGAAGUAUGCUCUACUGUACUAAACUGUACUCUACUGUACAGUACUGAACUAUACUCUUCUGUGCUGUCCAAACUGUGAUUUGUGACUACUAUUUCAAGGCACAAGGCCCAAUGUUUCUUAAACUUACAGAAGGCAGAAACAUUUCUCCAAAACGAAAUAUGUGUUGAUAUUAGUUGGCAGGGGUCUUUACAUCAACAUUAUUGUGUUUUGAUGUAUUCUGAUACCUUUUUAAGUCUUUUUCUGGUAGAUGUUUUCUAAGCCCCCUUUUCCAGAAAAUCAAAGCACUUGCUUAUUCCUAAUUUCUAGGAUGGUAAAAUGGAUAAACAAUAUAUAUAUAUAUAUAUAUAUAUAUAUAGACUCUUAGCUUUCAUUUGACACCCAAUUUGACUUUCUCCUAUGACCUUCACAUGUUGGUGUUCAUGGGUCCUUUCACAUAAAAUGUACCUUAUUCAUCUCAUGGAUGCCAGUGUAUACACGGAAACAUUUAUAUGAAUGGUACAACAAUGAAUACGGAACAUAAAUGAAACAUUUAUAAAUUCAGUGAAAUAGACAAAACGAUUCAGAUGCCUUAUCUUGUGUUUUGAGUGUGAAUGCUUAGCGGCUGUAAAGUCACACCGUUAAAGGGGCUACAUUUAUUUCUGAAUAUUCUCAUACCAUUAUAUGUUGAGUAUAACAUUACUAUUACUCAAGAUAUUCACAGCACUUAUACAAUGUUGAUCAAAUAAAUGCAAAUCAAUUUAUUUAAAUUCAAAUAAUAUCUAACUCAAAAUGACAUGACUUAAAGUAAACAUGCUGAUAAACAUUUUGUAGCAUUUUCAAAGAAAUCAGGAUAAUUUCCAUAUGAUCUGUACUAAAAAGCUGUUUUGGUACAUUUGUACAAAAAAAAAAAAAAAGUAUGAAAUGUAUGCAUUCACUACUGUAAGCCGCUCUGGAUAAGAGCGUCUGCUAAAUGACAAAAAUGCAAAUGUAAAUUUGGUCACAGUGGCAAUGAUAAUAUUUCAUGAAAAUAAAAUAUCUGUUUUGAAAUAUUUUACAAGCUUAGAGCCUGUACGGAGAGGCAAAGGUCGAGAGCCGUGCGUCCUCUAAAACACAACCCAACCAAGCCGCACUGCUUCUUGACACAAUGCCCACUUAACCCAGAAGCCAGCCACACCAAGGUGUCGGAGGAAACACUGUGCACCUGACAACCGCGUCAACGUGCCCGGCCCGCCACAGGAGUUGCUAGUGCGCGAUGGGACAAGGAUAUCCAUGCUGGCCAAACCCUCCCCUAACACGGACAGCGCUGGACCAAUUGUGCACCGCCUCAUGGAUCUCCCGGUCACGGCCAACUGCGACAGAGCCUGGACUCAAACCCAGAAUCUCUAGUGGCACAGCUAGCACUGCGCCACUCAGGAGCCCCCUGUGUCAAUAUUUAAACACUGUACAGAACUUUAUCAGUAUUGUAUUAUUCAUCAGAUGAUGACGUCAGAUUUAGUCAUAAAUGCAUUUGGAAACACUUCAUUUUGGGAGUUUCUAAAUGGUGUUCACUCAUGAGAGUAAUGUGUUCAGACAGUACUAAAUAUCUUUCAGGCAUCUGCUCUAAAAUUCACCGCCUCAGCAGUUACACAAGCUACACUAGAAACAAUCAUUUUCAUCUUUUUGCCCCAUCAGGAUCCAACUUCCUUCCAUUUGAGAAACGUUAGUGGAGAAGGGAACACCCUGCUAGCUGUAGUCAACAAGCCACUGGAUGUCUCAGGAGUCCUGACAAUGUCUACAAUGUGAUCUCUCACAAAUCUUUAUGAUCCUUAUGUUAUUUUACUGUCAUAGUUUACAAAUGUGGUAUAAAAAGAUAACGUAUAAUAUAUUUUCAUCUACCAUUACUAUUUAUGUAUGACCAUGCCGUCCCAGAAUGUGUGUUAUUUUACUGAAAACAGAUACCAAAUGGUAGACCUAUUAAAUGGUAGACCUAUUAAAUGUACAUAUAAUCAGGAAGCUACUCCUCACUACCAUGUGCUGGCCUCACAAACUAUGUCAACAACAGGGUUAUUAUGCCAACAAUAUAUAUUUUUUUCUCUUCUAUUUUUUUAACCUUUAUUUAACUAGGCAAGUCAGUUAAGAACAAAUUCUUAUUUACAAUGACGGCCUACCACGGUCCACUAACCCGGAAGACGCUGGGCCAAUUGUGUACCGCUUUAUCGGACUCCCGAUUACGGCCGGUUGUGAUACAGCCCAGGAUUGAACCAGGGUCUGCAGUGACACCUCUAGCACUGAGAUGUAGUGCCUUAGACCGCUGCGCCACCCAGGAGCCCAAUAAAUAAGCCAUGAUUGGCACCAGGUCCAUCAUCACUGAGCAGUAAAUGGCGUGUUUAUUGAGAGAAAUGCUCUUUGCUGAAAAUUGAAUAUGUUAGAUGCAUG